rnacentral:rRNA from 1 species
GACAGAGGUGCCGAGCGUUAGGCGGAAUCACUGGGCUUAAAGCGUGUGUAGGCGGACUUCUAAGUACCUUGUGAAAUCCCACGGCUCAACCGUGGAACUGCUUGGUAUACUGGUCGUCUUGAGCCAUCUAGGGGCUGUCGGAACAAAUGGUGGAGCGGUGAAAUGCGUAGAUAUCAUUGGAACGCCAAAGGUGAAAACAGACAGCUGGGGAUGUGCUGACGCUGAGACACGAAAGCCAGGGGAGCAAACGGG